UGGGGAAUAUUGGACAAUGGGCGAAAGCCUGAUCCAGCCAUGCCGCGUGUGUGAAGAAGGUCUUCGGAUUGUAAAGCACUUUAAGUUGGGAGGAAGGGCAGUAAGCGAAUACCUUGCUGUUUUGACGUUACCGACAGAAUAAGCACCGGCUAACUCUGUGCCAGCAGCCGCGGUAAUACAGAGGGUGCAAGCGUUAAUCGGCAUUACUGGGCGUAAAGCGCGCGUAGGUGGUUCGUUAAGUUGAAUGUGAAAGCCCCGGGCUCAACCUGGGAACUGCAUCCAAAACUGGCGAGCUAGAGUAGGGCAGAGGGUGGUGGAAUUUCCUGUGUAGCGGUGAAAUGCGUAGAUAUAGGAAGGAACACCAGUGGCGAAGGCGACCACCUGGGCUCAUACUGACACUGAGGUGCGAAAGCGUGGGGAGCAAACAGG
rnacentral:rRNA from 1 species